GUGCACCAGGCGCGAAUUUUUCUCAAUGGGGGAAACCCUGAAGGAGCGACGCCGCGUGGGGGAUGAAUGGCUUCGGCCCGUAAACCCCUGUCAUUUGCGAUCAAACCUUACGACUUAACACGUCGUAAGCUGAUAGUAGCGAAAGAGGAAGGGACGGCUAACUCUGUGCCAGCAGCCGCGGUAAUACAGAGGUCCCAAGCGUUGUUCGGAUUCACUGGGCGUAAAGGGUGCGUAGGCGGUCGGGUAAGUCUGACGUGAAAUCUUCAAGCUCAACUUGGAAACUGCGUCCGAUACUAUUCGGCUAGAGGAAUGGAGGGGAGACUGGAAUACUUGGUGUAGCAGUGAAAUGCGUAGAUAUCAAGUGGAACACCAGUGGCGAAGGCGAGUCUCUGGACAUUUUCCUGACGCUGAGGCACGAAAGCCAGGGGAGCAAACGGGAUUAGAUACCCGCGUAGU
rnacentral:rRNA from 1 species